UACGUAGGGUGCAAGCGUUGUCCGGAAUUAUUGGGCGUAAAGAGCUCGUAGGCGGUCUGUCGCGUCGGAUGUGAAAAUCCAGGGCUCAACCCUGGACCUGCAUUCGAUACGGGCAGACUAGAGUUCGGCAGGGGAGACUGGAAUUCCUGGUGUAGCGGUGAAAUGCGCAGAUAUCUGGAGGAAUACCGGUGGCGAAGGCGGCAUCCUGGACCUCUUCUGACGCUGAGGCGCGAAAGCCAGGGGAGCAAACGGG
rnacentral:rRNA from 1 species